UACGGAGGGUGCUAGCGUUGUUCGGAAUUACUGGGCGUAAAGCGCGUGUAGGCGGCCGAUUAAGUCUGGUGUGAAAGCCCGGGGCUCACCCCCGGAAGUGCGCUGGAAACUGGUCGGCUAGAGUAUGGGAGAGGAAAGUGGAAUUCCCGGUGUAGCGGUGAAAUGCGUAGAUACCGGGAGGAACACCAGCGGCGAAGGCGGCUUUCUGGACCAAUACUGACGCUGAGACGCGAAAGCGUGGGGAGCAAACAGG
rnacentral:rRNA from 1 species